rnacentral:rRNA from 1 species
GUGUCAGCCGCCGCGGUAAUACGGAGGGUGCGAGCGUUGUCCGGAAUCACUGGGCGUAAAGGGCGCGUAGGUGGCGCGGGAAGUCAACGGUGAAAGUUCAGGGCUCAACCCUGAAUCGGCCGUCGAUACUCCCGGGCUUGAGCACUGUAGAGGCAGGUGGAAUUCCGGGUGUAGCGGUGGAAUGCGUAGAGAUCCGGAAGAACACCGGUGGCGAAGGCGGCCUGCUGGGCAGUUGCUGACACUGAUGCGCGACAGCGUGGGGAGCAAACAGGAUUAGAUACCCGUGUAGUCC